GAUGAACGCUGGCGGCGUGCUCAACACAUGCAAGUCGAACGAAGCAUUUAGGACAGAUUACUUCGGUUUGAAGUUCUUUAUGACUGAGUGGCGGACGGGUGAGUAACGCGUGGGUAACCUGCCUUGUACUGGGGGAUAGCAGCUGGAAACGGCUGGUAAUACCGCAUAAGCGCACAAUGUUGCAUGACAUGGUGUGAAAAACUCCGGUGGUAUAAGAUGGACCCGCGUCUGAUUAGCUAGUUGGUGAGAUAACAGCCCACCAAGGCGACGAUCAGUAGCCGACCUGAGAGGGUGACCGGCCACAUUGGGAAUGAGACACGGCCCAGACUCCUACGGGAGGCAGCAGUGGGGAAUAUUGCACAAUGGAGGAAACUCUGAUGCAGCGACGCCGCGUGAGUGAAGAAGUAAUUCGUUAUGUAAAGCUCUAUCAGAAGGGAAGAUAGUGACGGUACCUGACUAAGAAGCUCCGGCUAAAUACGUG
rnacentral:rRNA from 1 species